rnacentral:rRNA from 1 species
CGUGUAGGCGGAUGGGAACGUCGGCGACUGAAAGCCCCCGGCUCAACCGGGGAAGUGGUGCCGAAACGACCUGUCUGGAGGGACGUAGGGGGACCUGGAACUUCCGGUGGAGCGGUGAAAUGCGUUGAGAUCGGAAGGAACGCCCGUGGCGAAAGCGAGGUCCUGGACGUCUGCUGACGCUGAGACGCGAAAGCUAGGGGAGCAAACGGGAUUAGAUACCCCGGUAGUCCUAGCCGUAAACGAUGGGCACUGGGUAGGGGGCUCGCCGAUGGGCUCUCUGCCGGAGCGAAAGCGUGAAGUGCCCCGCCUGGGGAGUAUGGUCGCAAGGCUGAA